UACGUAGGGCGCAAGCGUUGUCCGGAAUUAUUGGGCGUAAAGAGCUCGUAGGCGGCUUGUCACGUCGGAUGUGAAAGCCCGGGGCUUAACUCCGGGUCUGCAUUCGAUACGGGCUGGCUAGAGUGUGGUAGGGGAGAUCGGAAUUCCUGGUGUAGCGGUGAAAUGCGCAGAUAUCAGGAGGAACACCGGUGGCGAAGGCGGGUCUCUGGACAGUUCCUGACGCUGAGGCACGAAGGCCAGGGGAGCAAACGGG
rnacentral:rRNA from 1 species